rnacentral:tRNA from 1 species
GAGAGUAGAGCUUAGUGGUAGAGCCCUUGCGUAGCACACAGGAGACUGGGUUCAAUCCCCAGCACUACCA